GAUGAACGCUGGCGGCGUGCCUAAUACAUGCAAGUCGAGCGAACGGACGAGAAGCUUGCUUCUCUGAUGUUAGCGGCGGACGGGUGAGUAACACGUGGAUAACCUACCUAUAAGACUGGGAUAACUUCGGGAAACCGGAGCUAAGACCGGAUGAUAUUUUGAACCGCAUGGUUCAAAAGUGAAAGACGGUCUUGCUGUCACUUAUAGAUGGAUCCGCGCUGCAUUAGCUAGUUGGUAAGGUAACGGCUUACCAAGGCAACGAUGCAUAGCCGACCUGAGAGGGUGAUCGGCCACACUGGAACUGAGACACGGUCCAGACUCCUACGGGAGGCAGCAGUAGGGAAUCUUCCGCAAUGGGCGAAAGCCUGACGGAGCAACGCCACGUGAGUGAUGAAGGUCUUCGGCUCGUAAAACUCUGUUAUUAGGGAAGAACAUAUGUGUAAGUAACUGUGCACAUCUUGACGGUACCUAAUCAGAAAGCCACGGCUAACUACGUG
rnacentral:rRNA from 1 species